rnacentral:rRNA from 1 species
UACGGAGGGUGCAAGCGUUAUCCGGAUUCACUGGGUUUAAAGGGUGCGUAGGUGGGCUGGUAAGUCAGUGGUGAAAUCUCCCAGGCUUAACUUGGAAACUGCCAUUGAUACUAUCAGUCUUGAAUACCGUGGAGGUCAGCGGAAUAUGUCAUGUAGCGGUGAAAUGCUUAGAUAUGACAUAGAACACCAAUUGCGAAGGCAGCUGGCUACACGAAUAUUGACACUGAUGCACGAAAGCGUGGGGAUCAAACAGG